AAAAUGACCCCAUGAAACUUCACUAGCCAGUCGGGCCAGUGACUGGAUUUUUACUGGCCCGGCUGGAUUUUUUCUAGCCAUGAGCUAGCGGGCCAGUGGCUAUUUCGCACACUGCAUCCAACUUGCAGUGCAG